GUUUUUUCUGCUUUACUUUGCACAGAAGCAAGAGAUUCACUUCCGCUUCGUCUGCUUGUUCCCACGGUCGUGCGGUCACAUGCGCAGGUUGCGGCAAACAAGUGCACAUUACAACCGAGGGCAUUCUUCCUUUUUGGUCGCAGAAAGCGGGUGUGCAUUACAAUCUAGUAAAUACGGUAAAUGUUUUC